AUUUUUUGAUCCGUUGCCAUAUCGUCAUAUGUAGGUUCCAUGUUAAAAUAUUCACUUCGAUUUGACUUCAAUUCUGUGCCUACAAACUUUAAUCAGACAACUUAUUUCUCUAUUCAAAAACUUGGUAAUAAUGGUGAUCAUGCACCAGUUACUUUACAUUAUGACGUGCAUAUAUACGUCACACCUAGGAAGGCGGUUAUGUAUCUCUGUCCGUAAUAGAGAUAUUAUGACGUGUAUAUACGUCACAUGUAAGACCUGAGGAAGUAUCUCUGUUCGUAAUAUAGAGGUUAUCAACUCAAUAGAGGCGACACAAACAUGGAGUAAAACCCUCGGGGCAUAUUUUUUGCUUGAAAAAUAAUUUAUAAGUUUAUGAUGUCAUUAUAAGUUUUAUUAAAGUAAGCGUUUUAUCCUUCAAUGACAUGAAAACGAAAUAGAUGGGAUCGUUAAAAAACGUCGGCGUAAAAGACUGACCAAUGAAAAAAAAACUUUGCUAGCCUUUAGGACUUUGCUUAACGUGCCCGCUUUAGGAAGGUCCUAAGUCUCCCGUUUUAAAGUUGUCCGACAUAUGGAGGUUCCAGCAUAGUUGACUAAUUACUUUUCUUGGUAAUUAACAAAUUGCAAUUAACUCAAGGCCCAAAAUUAAAUUCCUUGAUAAAAAAAUUAGUUGCAAUUAAAAAAAAUAACUUAUGAUAUUCGUCAUGGCUCGGACCCUGGAUUUGUAUAAAGGAAAAAGGAUCUUUGAGAGCACUCAAACAGCGCAACUCUCCGCACCGCACGACUUUCAUCAGAGCUCCGUUUAAGAUGCGUAUUUUUCUGUGUUCUCUGUUCGUGGUAGCCGUCAUGACUCUAGUUCUUGCCUCGUUCGUCGAGAAGAGUGAGGCAGUCGCCGGGCAUCUUCUAACUCGGCGAGGGGUACGAUGUCGAACCAAGCACAGUCGCCGGAACAAAUGCAACAAAAGGCGUAAAAAUCCUAAAGGCCAUCACUCAAAAGAGAUAUCGAUAAGGUUAUGGGGGCUGAGACGUGCCUGAAUACCGGCAACCAAAAAACGAACGGGAAAUACGGGACCUGUACAACCUCAGAGGAACAAUCGUACUUCGACAUUAUUUUCAUGCAAGCUGACGGGUCUGCUUGUUAUCUACAUACCAAAUAAUUAAUACAGCAAUAAAUCAUAUACUUCAGUGA